UGAACUGCAAACCGUGUCAUUCCAUUAUCUGCACCAGAACACAUGAGGAACUGUAGCUAACAAAACAAACAAAUGCCAAUCCCCAGUUCAGGAGUGCAGAAAGUUCAUUCAGCAUGGAUGUGGAAAUGACACAGAGCAGAAGAGGAGCUGUAGCUGCUGCACAGCUGUGACAGGCCAUUUCCCAGGGAAAAGCUGGGAAUGUCACUUCCACAAACAUGGAAAAACAGGCAUGUUUGCUCUGAGCCAAGGAAGCAGCCAGCCCCAGAGCCCACUGCCCUGGGCAGUGAAGCUCUCUUUGUCCUCUGAAGACACAGCACAGGCAGAGCCUCUGUUUCCCUGUUUCCCAAGGCCAGGGAACCUCUGUCCCCAGGCACCAGGCAGCACUUGCAGCCCCCAGCCCACACCCAGCCCUACCUACAGGGCUGGUGUCGCUCCAUCCAUCAUCACAAUCCAACACAAGAGAGAGGGGAGGAACAAGGGCUAGGAGAGCCCUUUUUCCAGCCACAACCACCACCAAGCAAAGCGUACCUUCAGUUCCCGAGCCAUUCCUCUUCAAAUGAUCAAACAUCCAUACUUGUCCUAAGGCUUUUGCAGAAGUUUCUCUCCUCUAAAGCUGAAGCAACACAUCAGAACCAUUCCUCCAAUUCCUCCUUGCUUACACACCUCUCCCCAGUUGUCCUUCAGACUGAAGGACUCCUAUCUUCUUCUGAAGAUAGUGCUUCAGACCACCUCAGCUGCUCUGCUCAGCAUGGUCUGUUACCUCGUUACAAGUCCCAGGUGCAGCAAUGCUCACCUGGCCAGCCACCCCUGUUGCUGCCACCUGUUUGCAAUUACCAGGGAUGAGCCAGGGACAUCACUGGUGGGCUACCCCCACCCUGGCCUUGCUACAGCCUGAAACGUGGGCCCUAACACAUCUCAGCUGCUUGCUCCUUUCCAAACCUCUUGAAAUCCUGACUGGAUUGCAACCUUGCAGCCCAGUUUCCUGGGGGCUGUGCUGUAGGCAGACAUUUGCCUUGGUGUUUGUUACAGGUUAGGAUUUUUCCUUUUGUUUUUACUCUCAUGGAAUUUUGUCCCAUUUGUUGCUAAGAAACAAUAACAAGCAGUAGGUAAGAGCAACAAAAGAUGCACCUACGAAGGAGGAAAGGAGAGGA